ACUACGGGUGGCAGCAGUGAGGAAUAUUGGUCAAUGGGCGCGAGCCUGAACCAGCAACGCCGCGUGAAGGAAGAAGGCUCUCGGGUUGGAAACUUCUUUUAGCAGGGACGAAGCAAGUGACGGUACCUGAUGAAUAAGCCACGGCUAACUACGUGCCAGCAGCCGCGGUAAGACGUAGGUGGCAAGCGUUAUCCGGAUUUACUGGGUGUAAAGGGCGUGUAGGCGGGAAAGCAAGUCAGAUGUGAAAACCAUGGGCUCAACCUGUGGCCUGCAUUUUAAACUGUUUUUCUGGAGUACUGGAGAGGCAGGCGGAAUUCCUGGUGUAGCGGUGAAAUGCGUAGAUAUUAGGAGGAACCCCAGUGGCGAAGGCGGUCUGCUGGACAGCAACUGACGCUGAGGCGCGAAAGCGUGGGGAGCAAACAGGAUUAGAUACCCUAGUAGUC
rnacentral:rRNA from 1 species